rnacentral:rRNA from 1 species
AUUGAACGCUGGCGGCAGGCCUAACACAUGCAAGUCGAACGAGUGGCGGACGGGUGAGUAAUGUCUGGGAAACUGCCUGAUGGAGGGGGAUAACUACUGGAAAAGGUAGCUAAUACCGCAUAACAUCAGAUGUGCCCAGAUGGGAUUAGCUGGUAGGUGGGGUAACGGCUCACCUAGGCGACGAUCCCUAGCUGGUCUGAGAGGAUGACCAGCCACACUGGAACUGAGAAACGGUCCAGACUCCUACGGGAGGCAGCAGUGGGGAAUAUUGCACAAUGGGCGCAAGCCUGAUGCAGCCAUGCCGCGUGUGUGAAGAAGGCCUUCGGGGUGUAAAGCACUGUCAGCGGAGAGGCGUUACCCGCAGAAGAAGCACCGGCUAACUCCGUGCCAGCAGCCGCGGUAAUAC